GUGCACAUUUAAUUGUCUUUCAUUGUCCUUCUAUGAAGAAAAAAUAUAUUUAUGAUGUGCUAAAUUAAUUUUUGGAGGUAAAUUAGGAGCAUGAUUUAUUUAGCCAUUGCUGUCAGUCACCUUUAAAAUAUA
rnacentral:snoRNA from 1 species